UUUGCAGUUUAAUAUACUCUCUGUUUACUCUUAAUUGUUAAAAAACCUACAAAGACCAUUUUGAAAUUUAGACUUUAAAGACCCCAACAACUAGCCAAUUAGAUCAUAUAUCUUCAAACAUAUUGGGAGAAUGUUCAUUAGGUUAGAAGAAUAGUGGCUUUUCUUUGGAGCUUCACACUGGAAAAUGUAUUCAGCAUGAUGAAGGAUGGGCUAAGAGGCAAAUAACUUUUCUGCAGUGAUGUUUCCCUUUAGGGAUUAUAUAUCGAUCUGCAGGAAAGAUGUAUCCUGGACAAAAAAUUAACAGGGGAGUGGAACAUCCAACAGCAUCUGCAUCCCAAACACCUAAACUAAAACCUUAUGAAGAAGCUCUUUUGAUUGUGUUCGAGAAAGAGAAACGUCAAGGUGAGCUACAGCUGUCACUUCCUCCCUUUUCCCAGGCAUUUCUUCGCAAGGAACUGAUGUUUAAAAUUCCAUGGAAUAUCCCCUUGUGAAGUAAGCAUAAGAGCAAAGUACAGACCACACAAAGAAAAAUCUUACCUUCGUUUCCUUUUACAAAGUAGCAAGCCUAUUACCAAAGUUGUAAUCAAUGUCACCAAGAGGACGAGUGGAACAAUGAUUGCAAUGCUUCCUGCAACAAAUAGAAG